rnacentral:rRNA from 1 species
AAGGCUGCAGUAAGGAAUUUUAAACAAUAAACGAAAGUUUGAUUUAGCAAGAAAAAAUAAAUGAUGGAAAACAAUUUUUUGUUGUAAAGUUUUUAUUUAGAAAUAAAUUAUGAUAUUUUCUAAAAAAAAGUCCUGGCCAACUUUGUGCCAGCAGCCGCGGUUAUACGAAGAGGGCAAGCAUUAUUUGGUUUAAUUUGGUGUAAAAAAUAUGUAGGCUGUUAUUAAAAAUUUAAAUUAAAACUUAAUUUUGUUAUGGUGUUUAAAUUUUAAUUACUAGAGUAAA